GAGAAUGCGUAGAAGAGGAGAGUAAAUGAUAGGCAUUGUUUCAGAGAGCUACCCCUAGGCUGUGAGGGUGGUAACAAUCGAGUCUUUGAAAAUCACCUCGGAGUACUACUUUUGAAACUAGUAAAAAGUAGCGGAGUUGUUUCCGAUAGAAAAACAAAAGUCUAAUUGGACUUGCAGAGCUUACAUUUCGUGAGAAGUGUAAGGAAGCUGAGUGGUACCACGAUUCCCUCGUCUCAGCA
rnacentral:ncRNA from 1 species